rnacentral:rRNA from 1 species
AUGUCAAUCCUGGACGACUCAUCCACCAAUCUCGCGUCCUCCUCCCCACCAAUCCCCUAUCCUCCUCCAGCCCACCAAUCCCCCGCGUCCUCCUCCCCACCAACCCUAGCCAUGCCCUCGCCGCCACCUCUCCUUCCCCCGUUCGUCCUCUCCCGCCGCCGUCACCACCCCUAUCUCUCCUCCUUUCUCCUCGACGCCAUCAACGCGAGUGGGCACUCGGUGGAUCUGGUGGUCAGUGCGGGAUGCAACAGCGCAUCUGGCCGGAGGAGAACGCGGCGGCUGCAUCUCCUGGCAAUGCCCGGCGGACAGGUGUGGUGGAUCUGCCUCCUCCUCUCUCUUUCAACCCCGGUAGUGCUCUUUCAUGUACGCCGCCCUCUCCUUGACAACGGCAGCGCCAGGCCGUCAAAUCCGUCACUGUCGCCGUUCUUCUGCUCGAGGCCUUCGUCGUCCAUUAAGGUGUUCUAUUUUUCAACGUGCUGCAGCUACCACUUUGCCACUGCCCUGACUCCUUCCUGCAGACCAUGGAUCUGUCGUCGAUGCAGAGCGUCAACAGGGUGGAGGUUUGCCGCCCUAGCAGACUCGUGUGUUGUUGCCGCCGCAAUCCUUCUCUUUGUUGGAGUCUUCCUCCUCUGGUACGUCCUCUCUCGCGACCCUCGAGAGAAAAAAAUUGGUCUCUUUGACACGCUUGGGAUCGACGGAUCGUUCAUGCCAUGGUUGGAUUUGAAUGGGGCACCCUUUAAGCACAAACCUUUCGACGCAAGGACUGUCAUGGGAUUUGGAGUGCUCAAUGGCAUCUUAAUUGGACUUCUCAACCAGAGUCUAGGUUUCAACUCUGUUGGUUUCUAUCAGAGCAAGUCGAGCGCAUUAGUUGGAUCCAGCUUCUUGAUAUUGCAGAGGACUCGUCAAAAGGUGGAUUACUACUUCCUUGGAUAUUUUCAGGUUAUUAUUUCCUUGCUCCCCUUUGCCGGCAAGCAUUCUCAUCUUCUGGUCACUUGCACCGACAACAUGGACGGCAGGUCUUGCGGCUCCCAGCGCCCUCAACCCCCCACUGACCCUCUCUCAAUUUUGAUCUCUCCUCUACUCUUCUGGGUGGCGGUAGGCGCCAUGGACGCCGCUCUUGUGCUCAUCAAGGUUGGGUUGGAGCUACAGUGGCCAGCCACCGGGACGACACUGAUAGCCAAAGAAAGCUCCUUCCCCACCGCUGACAGCCAAAACCACUCUUGUGCUCAUCAAGUGUAUGCACUGGUAGUUGAUGGAGUUUCAAGCAGCAAGCAUGGAGCACCUUCUUCUUUCUAUCAUGUCACUUACCUGAUAAUUUUGCAAAGGGUCUCGCCACCGCGCGCAGUCCACCUCUCCCCGCAGGCAUGCCGGCCACCUCCCCACCUGACGCACAUCUUUCCCAUGGGGCCAUGGAACACGGUGAGCAGCAGUGUAAUAUGCUAUUAUGGGCUUUGCUCCACCAUGAUAAGGAGGAAAGAACUGCAGGCUAUAUCGGAGAUGGUUUGGCAUACUGGCGGUUUCGCUGAACUCGAGAAAGCUGUGUCACUUGUAUUGAGCACACCAAUCUGCCUCGGUAGACGGCUGCUGAAGUUGACCCACAGGUUGGAGACAAAGAUAUUCCAUCCAAGGCCACCAGUUGGUUAUAAGUACUUCCAAAUAGUGAUCACCCAAUCUUCUGUAUUGGCGACGUACUGUCAACUUGGUACAUUCAACAUGCGUGUUCAGCUCGCAGCGAGGAUUCUUGUGUCCAACCUGCACAAGAAUGCCAAGAAGUCCUUCUCGGAGAUGAUUAAGGACAUGUACCUGCACUACAACGAGAGAUCUUGGCUGCUUUUUUGUGGCUUCCAAACUUGAAAUGUUUGUUUGGAAGUUAGUUUAGUUUUUUGUUGUGGAUUCACAGCUUCUCACAUGUACCGUCCUCUUAGACCUUUAGAUUUUCAAAGAAACUAAAUGAAGAUAUGGUGGUAUGGUCUCAAUAGUACAACUUAAAGCCUCCCAUGCUUUAUAUUUUCUCUUAAAUUUGCUCUUGAAAUUUGCUCUUGAAGAAUCAUAUGUAUCUAUGUUAGAUUUGGU